rnacentral:rRNA from 1 species
UCAUUAUUGAAAAUUACUGGUGAGGGUUGUAGCUGGCCUUCCGGGGCAAUGUGCACGCCCGAGCCUUUAAUCCACACACACCUGUGAACUCACUGUAAGGGCCCGUAAAAAGGCCCCUACGUAUCAUCACCGACGCAUGUAUAACAGAAUGUAAAUCAAUGUCCUCGCCUUGAAAAAGCGUUGAUAAACUUAAUACAACUUUCAACAACGGAUCUCUUGGCUCUCGCAUCGAUGAAGAACGCAGCGAAAUGCGAUAAGUAAUGUGAAUUGCAGAUUUUCAGUGAAUCAUCGAAUCUUUGAACGCACCUUGCGCUCCUUGGUAUUCCGAGGAGCAUGCCUGUUUGAGUGUCAUUAAAUUCUCAACCACCGGAUGUUUCGACGUCUGGUUGGCUUGGACUUGGAGUGUGCUGGCGAAAGUCGGCUCCUCUCAAAUGCAUCAGCGGAAUUCAACCUUUGGCUUCCGGACAUCAGUGUGAUAAACAACGUUGCGCUGUCGUCUGAAAUCAGAGAGUCCGCUUCGUAAUGGUCUUUCGGACAAACAUUGACAAUCAGAUUUGACCUC